rnacentral:rRNA from 1 species
CCCAGACUCCUACGGGAGGCAGCAGUGAGGAAUAUUGGUCAAUGGGCGCAAGCCUGAACCAGCCAAGUCGCGUGAGGGAAGACGGCCCUACGGGUUGUAAACCUCUUUUGCCGGGGAGCAAGCCUGAGCACGUGUGCCCAGGCGGAGAGUACCCGGAGAAAAAGCAUCGGCUAACUCCGUGCCAGCAGCCGCGGUAAUACGGAGGAUCCGAGCGUUAUCCGGAUUUAUUGGGUUUAAAGGGUGCGUAGGCGGCCUUUUAAGUCAGCGGUGAAAGUCUGUGGCUCAACCAUAGAAUUGCCGUUGAAACUGGGGGGCUUGAGUAUGUUUGAGGCAGGCGGAAUGCGUGGUGUAGCGGUGAAAUGCAUAGAUAUCACGCAGAACCCCGAUUGCGAAGGCAGCCUGCUAGGCCAUGACUGAUGCUGAUGCACGAAAGCGUGGGGAUCGAACAGGAUUAGAUACCCCUGUA